GUGGACAGAAAAGGAAGAGCGACGACUUGGGUGCGGCUGCGAAGUCUGCCUGCCCAACGCCAAUUGCUCCUCACCCAAAAACGCACCCCAUUGACGAAGAUCAUCCUUGUAUAGACGAUGAUAAAUACUCUCAUCUGACAAGAACACGUCAUCAGAAGUCACUGCCUGC